rnacentral:ncRNA from 1 species
AAACUGUAUGAAGAGUCGGGCAUCGUCCCGAGCCAACCUGCCUACGGGGCAAGGUGGAUCGCGAAAGCGGAUGCGGCCAACAAGGCAACCAAGCCGGUCAUG